AUGAUGUUCAAGGUUCAACUUGGAGGGCUCCACGAAAAAUCCAGAGGCCUUUGCGCAUAGUACUGGAGGCUCAGAUCCAUUCAAUCGCAGUAAUUCUCCAGAGGUCCAGCAUUUCCUCCCUUCGACUUUCGUGGUUUUCGUGACAAUCUUAUACAGAUGAGAACAUAAAGCGGGUGCCACAUAUGUAGUAUCUAAUUGAACAGUUACGCCCAUUUUAGAAGGGAAAUUAGGAAACACGCCAAAUGCCAAGGCUUCAUCCAACAUAGUGGUGAUGAACCCUCCAUGAACGAUAUUUUUAUAUCCACACAGAUCUGAUGUGGGAUGAAAAUAAACCACAGAACCUUUACCCGACUUUUCGAUAAAAUAGUAUGGGCAAAAGGUAAGAGCAUUGUGUCGUACUAAGUUUGCGAUAUAUGAUUUAUUAUCCUCGCCUUUAUAAGGCUGCAUAGAGAUAUAUUCAUCAUUUGACUUCAACUCUUGGAAUUCAGGGAGUGCUACUAACUUGGUUUCGGGCAUUUUGUUUAAAAGCGACAAAGAUGCAAUUGUGCGAAAAAAGUCAAAUUUCGUUUAUUAUAACACAGAAGGAGUAGUCAAGUUUCCUUUUGAGUAUCCCAGCAGUGCUGACUUGUCUAACUAUGUAGUGCUAUGCGAUAAGUCAGACUAUCAAUAUAUCUUAAGAUUCAGAACCAUUUCGGUGCUAAGCUCGGGAGAACAGAUUUGCCGUUUCCGAUUUGCCCAACAGCGCCAUUUUGUUUCUUUCUAAAAAUGGCACUGGUCUACACACUAAUAAUAUAGGUUAACUAAACUAUCUAUUCAAGAAACUAUGGUAUUAGUAAAAUACCAUUAAGAUGCCUACCCAAAAAAAAAAAAAAAAAAAAAAAAAAUAGAGCACAUUACUCACAACGCCUUAAAUUUGUAUUUUUUAUAUUUAAAAAGAGUAAGAAAACUUGAAAAGAAAUAUAUCCAUUAUUACAGGUUAUAAUAUAGUAUCAAAACUGCAUUACUAAAUGGACUAGUUUUAUAAUUAAGUAUACCGUUUUUAUAACAAUACUUUUGGAGAUCAGUCUUCUGCUCUCUCAUAUCGUUUGUCCUUGUAAGCUUAAGAAUAAAGUAUAAAUUUUUUCCGUCCAUACAACUGCCAACGAUUUUUAAAUAUCUAUCAUUUUGUGAUUUUAUUAGCAUACAUGUAUUAACAAGUUCACGCUAUUACGCCCUAUUUAAGUCUUUGUUGAGUUGUGCUAUAUGCGGUAUCUGUAUGUGGUUUAUAAUGUACAAAACUAUUGAAAUUGAUGAUUUUAAGACUCAGAUUUUAUGAAGGGUUUACUCUAAUUUGAUACCUUAAUAGUGUAUUUGAAUUUCAAUUUUGAAACAAAGGAUUACUUUUUUGAAAACUCACUAUCCUAAAUUGUUAUUAAAGGAUCUGUAACAAUACCAGAGCAAACCUCCAACCUUGAAGUUUUAUUUUGU